AUGCCUGUAGGCUGGUGGGACCGCUGCCAGGGAGCAGGGUCCCCAUCACAAGGAGGGGUAGCCCUGUCCUUUGCUUUUGUGCCUCUAAUACCCAUGUUUGCUUUGCAGAAUCACCACCCAAGCAAACCUGAAGAUUGUGUAGCCACCCAAUUCUGUGUAUUUCCCAGAGCCAGAAGCUGCACAGCAGCCAUGGAAAGACUGAAGUUUGGUGCCAGUUUUGGCUCUGCCGUUAAUUCAUUCAGGACAACCUCGACACUGGUCUGGAGAGAAAGCUGGAUCCUGUGCAAAUAACUAGAGCGCAGCUAAGGGGAAGUAAAACGUGCUACUGAGGCAGGAAACGUCGGCACGUCACACAGCCUAUGCUGGACAGUCAAGGAGGGAUGUGUGAAAAGAAGCUUGUGUCUCCAGUAAAUGGUAGGUUUUGUUAUUUUUAGUACUAUUUCUAAGAGCAGCAAUGUUAGUUGCGCAACUGUUUUAAGGCAUAAAGCAUUCAUUUGUUUAACUGCUAGACUUGGUCAUGGAUACUGAUCAGAUUAGCUCAGCCCUUGUGUUAAUGAAGGGCUGAUUGCUCUCUAUGGAUGAACCAUGAAUAGUGUUAACUGCGCGCGCGUGUGUGUGAGUGUGUGUGUGUGUGUGUGUGUGUGUGUGUGUGUGUGUGUGUGUUAAAGGAGCAGCACUAUGUUUUAACAAUGAUAGUUAACAUUUGUGGAGAAUUGACUUUACCUGAGACAUUCUUCUAAGUGCUGUUAAGGUAUUAUCUCACUCCAUCCCAGGAGCAGCUCUCUGAGGAGGUAGAACGAUCAAGGUAGGCGUGGGGGAGGUUGAGCAGCUCGUUUUCAGUCACAUCACCAGAGAGCGAGAGAGAGAGAGGGAGAGGGAGAAAGAGGGGGAUAGAUUGAUUGAUCGAUUAUGAGGAAUUGGCUCAUGCAACUGGAGAGGCUGAGAAGUCCCAUGACCAGCCAGUCUGCGAACUGGAGGCCUAGGGGAGCCAGCCGGUGGUGUAAUUCAUUCCGAAUCUGGAGAUCCGGUGACCAGGGAGUUGAUGGCGCAAACCCAAGUCCGAGGGCCAGAGAAGAGGAGAUGAGAUGUUCCAUCAAACAAUGAGGCAGGAAAAAGGGUGAAUGCCUGCUUCCUCUGCCUUUUGUUCUAUUCAGGCACUCAAAAGAUUGGAUGAUGCCCACUUACAUUGAGGAGGGCAACCUGCUUUACUGAAUCUGCGGAUUCAAUGCUCGUCUCAUCUGGAAACACCCUCAAAGACACACCCAGAAAUAAUGUUUAAUCUGGGACCCUGUGGCCCGUCAAGUUGAUUCACAAGAUUAACCAUCACAAGCUCUCAGGGAUCUCAUUCAUUCAUUCAUUCGUCCAAUAUUUAUUGGGUGUCUGUUAUGUUCCGGGCACUGAGUGUGAUGCUGGAAAAUCAAUGAGGAACAAAAACAGACGAAGACACUGCACCCCUCGAGCUGGUGGCUCAGAGAGACAGGCAGACACCAAUCAAAGAAUCUGAAAGGCUCUGGAUUAGAUAGAUGAUGUCUAAGGUCCCAGGUGGCUCUCGAGAAGUAAAUAGUUCUCUUCAGUCUCUGAACCUCAUAACUCCUAAAGAGGAGAGUCAUCAAUUCCUGGCAGUCCAAGGACCCAGAUUAACAGGAAUUUGCCUAGCUGGCUGGGGAGAGUUUCCUUGACUUGGCUUUGGUCAACAGUACCACCCCAUGCAGAAGUCAAGUCCUGUUGUUCUGGAGGCUCCUUGCUUCCCGUCCCUGGCCUCCCUCCCUUGCCCUGGUUUGUUAUUUGUUUGUUUUGGAGGGGAGGAUGCCAUCUUUAGUGACAAGUACUUCUUCCUCCAUGACACUGCAGAGCUGAUCGCUGGCCUGUGUUGAACAUAACAUCUCUUUGGCUGUAGUCCUGGCCUCUUUUCUGUUCCUUUUGGCUAUCAACUUGUUGCCUCCUGGUGCUGCCUCAUGGAGUUUGCCAGGAAGCCAAACAACCACAGUUGCUCACAAGGGCUUAAGUGGGCUCCUUAGCCAAGGGCGUUUUCUCACCCUUUCUCCUUCAGCUCCACCAAUUCUUGAACUUCGUAGGCCUCUGUGGUGCUCCAUUCAGAGGCUCAUUCACGUAUAUAACAGACAUUGAUUCCCUUCUCUGUGCCAGGCACUAGGGGGGAUGUUAAGACUCUACAAAUCCUUCUUCAUUAGGAAGAAAGAAGAAAUGGAAAGGACCCAGUGUGGAGCAUGCACACACACACAAACACACACACAUCCACGAAGCCAAAGAAAAGAAAAAAAUGGACAAAAGGAUUAGGGAUUUAGGAAAAUAGAAGCUUUGAUACAGAAUGAAAAAGUUUGAGGUUGUAAACAUUAGAAAAGAUUGCGUGCGGACUCAAGGGUUGAAACAUAAUAGAAAGGAAAGUUUCUCAGAGAAACACUGCCCAAGUCUUUCCACUCCGUGAAAGACAGAAAAAGCAAUUUCAAUGAGACAAGAUGAAAAAAAGGAAUCACAUCUGAAUUGUGUGGUGAGAAAUCUUUUUAAGCUUAAAUUUUUGUCAAAGUUAUACACACACUGUGUUUAAAGAGUCAAAUAGUUGUAUUAGGUUCAUAAUAAAAACAACAUUUCCCUAUCCUCCCCUUCUCUU
rnacentral:lncRNA from 1 species